rnacentral:lncRNA from 1 species
CUUUGGCGUUGUAAGGAGUAGAGCAAGCAACCAUCUGGAUCCCAGGGAUGGACUGGAAGUAAGAUUCUAACCGCUGUGAAUGCUCAGCGCCAAGCUGACGUCCCACUCCACCAGGCCCACGGAUGACAACCGGGAUCGUGAACUGACCACCCGAUGUGUAGUGAAGCAUUCCACAGUUGUUAGAGAUUUGGUUGAAGGCGAGGAGGAGGAAACCCAUGUUCAUACCUUCAAUGACGGGUCUUAGACCAGUCAUGGCGGCUCCAAUGCCCAUACCGGUGAAUGCAUUUUCACAAAUAGGAGUGUCGAGAACCCUGAGGUCGCCGAAUUUAUCAGCAAGACCUUUGGUUACCUUGUAAGAGCCUCCGUAAUGGCCAACAUCUUCACCCAUAACACAGACAUGUGGAUCUCUGUCCAUUUCUUCUUCCAGACCUUCCUGAAGAGCCUCGAAAAGCAAUAGUUCAUGUCUGCAAAUUUUCAUAAGAUAAAAAUUGGUUAAACUUUGUGCUGAGACAGAGAAGGCAUCAACAUGACAUUGAUAAAAUGAGCAUAGAACUUUAAUGGUUGAGAAAGAAAUGU